GAUAAACGCUGAAGGCAUCUAAGCGUGAAGCCCCCCUCAAGAUGAGAUAUCCCAUUCGAAAGAAGUAAGACCCCUUGAAGACGACGAGGUAGAUAGGUUAGAGGUGGAAGUGCAGUAAUGCAUGGAGCUGACUAAUACUAAUCGGUCGAGGGCUUGACCUG
rnacentral:rRNA from 1 species